rnacentral:rRNA from 1 species
AUUGAACGCUGGCGGCAUGCCUUACACAUGCAAGUCGAACGGUAACAGGUCUUCGGAUGCUGACGAGUGGCGAACGGGUGAGUAAUACAUCGGAACGUGCCCGAGAGUGGGGGAUAACGAGGCGAAAGCUUUGCUAAUACCGCAUACGAUCUCAGGAUGAAAGCAGGGGACCGCAAGGCCUUGCGCUCACGGAGCGGCCGAUGGCAGAUUAGGUAGUUGGUGGGAUAAAAGCUUACCAAGCCGACGAUCUGUAGCUGGUCUGAGAGGACGACCAGCCACACUGGGACUGAGACACGGCCCAGACUCCUACGGGAGGCAGCAGUGGGGAAUUUUGGACAAUGGGCGCAAGCCUGAUCCAGCCAUGCCGCGUGCAGGAUGAAGGCCUUCGGGUUGUAAACUGCUUUUGUACGGAACGAAAAGACUCUGGUUAAUACCUGGGGUCCAUGACGGUACCGUAAGAAUAAGCACCGGCUAACUACGUGCCAGCCGCCGCGGUAA